AAAAAAAAAGAAGCUGCAAAAUCAUAUUUCAGUGGCACCAUUUCUAGAAGACUCGAAGAUUGUGUUCUUCCAGCCUGUUCUGCUUGAUUCUAUUUUGUAGACAUAUGAACAGUUCAAAGUACAAAGGGCUAUUAUAUUAAAAGGACACUUGGAUAGUCUGUAUGAAGUCUCCCUUGUACUUUUAUAGAAUGUUUAUGAGGUUAAUAAGUAUGCUUUUUCAUCACUAUACAUUAUAAAUGGCUCAACUAUUGCUCCCACGUUUAUAUGAGAGUCAUUUGAAACUGCUUGAAUGGGGCCCCAUGUUCUUUGUUUCCCUUUGAUUUGGAAACAAAAGACUCCAAGGAAAAAAGUUUACUUUGCUGCUGACUGCUGGAUGCAGACCAACCGUGUUGUCCCUUGAAUGAAACCAAGGAGCUGAAGACUUAGAGCAGAAAAUACGCCAACGGUUUUGGCCCGUGUCUGUGCACCUCCAGUUUAGUCCCUCGUGCUUGUCUCCUACCCUGAGGUUCAGUUGCACCCCCAGGUGUUUGGGGAUAAUCAAGAAUAAUCAACGGAAGAGAAUCAGCAUCAGCUAAGACCAGAGCGGCUGUGCUUUUCUCGGUGGGAAAUACCUCGUGGGCCUCCUAAAGCAGCAGUGCCCUCCACUCACUGUCUGCCUUCUUCAUCUCUUCCAAUUUCUCGAGAUCGGAGGCUCUUAGCUUCAGCACCACUGAUAAAAUUUGGGGCGGCAUCGUUCUUCGUGUGUGUGGGGGGCUGGGACUGGGGGGUGGUCCGGGCACCACACGGUGUCUGCCAGCAUCCCCGGCCUCCGCCCGCUAAUGCCAGCCGCACAGUGUGAUGAGCAGAAGCGUCUCCCAGCGCUGCCAAAGCUCCCCUGGUCUGGAUCACCUCUGGCUGUGAACCGGUGUUCUAGAACAGCCCACCCACAGAAACCCUGUUUGAGACGUGGAGGUAAAGUUCAUGCUCAACCAGUGAUAGUAACAGUGACUGGUCACACAGCCAUCACUGAGAACCCGGAAGGAGAGAAGGAAAGGGAGUGUGACCUCAAAGGACUCAGAGAAAACUUACGAGCCAGCCCUUCCUCUGGCAGCCCGGGAAUUUCCAGUUGGCCACUUUGUGUUCACUGAUGGACGGAGGACGAUCUAGCCUGCAGAGGAGACAUUUCCGCUCCCCCUGCGGACCCCCUAUUAAGAAGGCUUCAAAAGGGACACGGAGACGAUGCUUAAAACCAACCCUUAUCAUUCUUACCAAUCCGCAAAGCGCCUGCCCUGUGUCUGCGACUUGGGUAUGCGUACCCUUCCCUCAAUGAUGAAUUCACGAGGGACCUUGUGGGCUGCUGAGAACAAACACGUUUUGGAACGAAUUCUUUUAUGGGUAUCCGUCCAAAGUCACCAUCAGCUGCAACUGGGAAGCGGAGUGGGGUUUUUUGGUUUUUGUUUUUGUUUUUCCCCCAGGGGCGGCCAUGGCGGCUCAAAAGCUCAAUUCUUGGAAGGGCCAUUUCUUCUUGACACUGGAGAAGACACGCUUCCCUGUGCACCUAAAAAUAAAAAGUAAAUAAAUAA